GGCAUGUUCGAGGCCAUGUGAAAACUGGGCUUGAAUUUCAAAUUGCACACGGGCUGAGGGAGUGUCACACGAUUGUGUGACACGACCGUGGACCAAGACAGGCCUAUACACGACAAUGUCCCGUUUGAAACCCUAAGCCCCAUUUUGUUUUAUCUUUUUCCUAUCCCAAAUUCCUUACACAACUGUCGUUCUCAUCUUCUCUCACCAGUCAAGUAGCCCCUCCCCGACCACCACCGUCACCGUCUCUCAUUCCCCUCCCUUUCCCUUUUUCCCUUUCUUCCUCCCCCCUUCUCCCUCAUCAAGAGAACAUCCUUUCCCCUUCGAACUCAAGCUACCAGCUAUCACCCCUUCAUCCUUCCUCGCUCUCCCUUUCUUAUUUUUUCGACCAAUCCCCUACAUCCAACCGUUCGUCAGCCCCUCACAUCCUGCACCCACACACACCAGCCUCACCGCCAUCCCUAAUAAUUAUGCAAACAUCCCCUCGCCCCUAACAACCCUACGUCCCCCCUCUCCUAUUGUAGCCACACCUUGUGCAACACCCCACCGUCGUUGGACCCUCAACAUCGGACCCACCGCUUUCCCGUCGCCCACCAACACCGUUUGCUCUGCCCUACCGUCGGUUCUUCCACCAUUUGCCCUUCCUUCUCCUUUUUAGAUUUUUAUUUUUUUAUUUUUUAUUUUUUAUUCUUAUUUAUUUCUAUUGUCUUUUCUUAUCAUUCGUCUUAUUAUUCCUAUUGUUACCAGUCUUACUUUUAUUAUUUUGAUUAUUCUUC
rnacentral:lncRNA from 1 species